AUUGAACGCUGGCGGCAGGCCUAACACAUGCAAGUCGAGCGAGCGGCGGACGGGUGAGUAAUGUCUGGGAAACUGCCUGAUGGAGGGGGAUAACUACUGGAAACGGUAGCUAAUACCGCAUACAAUCAGAUGUGCCCAGGUGGGAUUAGCUAGUAGGUGGGGUAACGGCUCACCUAGGCGACGAUCCCUAGCUGGUCUGAGAGGAUGACCAGGCACACUGGAACUGGUACACGGUCCAGACUCCUUCGGGUGGGAGCAGUGGGGAAUAUUGCGCAAUGGGCGGAAGCCUGAUGCAGCCAUGCCGCGUGUGGGAAGGAAGCCUUCGGGUUUGAAAGCCCUUUCCGCGGGGAGGCGUUACCCGAAGAAGAAGCACCGGCUUACUCCGUGCCAGCAGCCGCGGUAAUUC
rnacentral:rRNA from 1 species